CUGUUAAACCAACCCAGGAGUGCCUAAUUAGAAAGAUUCAAACCUGUAAAAGGAACUAGGCAAACCCAAGGCCCGACUGUUUACCAAAAACACAGCCUUUAGCAAACCAAGUAUUGAAGGUGACGCCUGCCCAGUGACACAAAGUUUAACGGCCGCGGUAUCCUGACCGUGCAAAGGUAGCGCAAUCAAUUGUCUCAUAAAUCGAGACUUGUAUGAAUGGCUAAACGAGGUCUUAACUGUCUCUUACAGGUAAUCAGUGAAAUUGAUCUCCCCGUGCAAAAGC
rnacentral:rRNA from 1 species